rnacentral:rRNA from 1 species
GACGAACGCUGGCGGCGUGCUUAACACAUGCAAGUCGAACGGAAAGGCCCUGCUUUUGUGGGGUGCUCGAGUGGCGAACGGGUGAGUAACACGUGAGUAACCUGCCCUUGACUUUGGGAUAACUUCAGGAAACUGGGGCUAAUACCGGAUAGGAGCUCCUGCUGCAUGGUGGGGGUUGGAAAGUUUCGGCGGUUGGGGAUGGACUGGCGGCUUAUCAGCUUGUUGGUGGGGUAGUGGCUUACCAAGGCUUUGACGGGUAGCCGGCCUGAGAGGGUGACCGGCCACAUUGGGACUGAGAUACGGCCCAGACUCCUACGGGAGGCAGCAGUGGGGAAUAGUGCACAAUGGGCGGAAGCCUGAUGCAGCAACGCCGCGUGCGGGAUGACGGCCUUCGGGUUGUAAACCGCCUUCGCCUGUGACGAAGCGUGAGUGACGGUAAUGGGUAAAGAAGCACCGGCUAACUACGU